GACGAACGCUGGCGGCGUGCUUAACACAUGCAAGUCGAACGGGCCUGUCUUCUUUUUUGGGGGGUGGGUUGAGUGGCGAACGGGUGAGUAUCACGUGAGUAACCUGCCCUUCGGUCCUGGAUAACCGCUUGAAAGGGCGGCUAAUACGGGGUGGUCCGGUUGGUCCGCAUGGGCUGGUCGGGAUAGAUUCACUGUUUUUGGUGUUUCGGCGGGGGAUGGGCUCGCGGCCUAUCAGCUUGUUGGUGGGGUGAUGGCCUACCAAGGCGGUGACGGGGAGCCGGCCUGAGAGGGUGGGCGGCCACAAUGGGACUGAGAUACGGCCCAGAAUCCUGCGGGAGGCAGCGGUGGGGGGUAUUGCACAAUGGGCGGAAGCCUGAUGCAGCGACGUCGCGUGAGGGAGGGAGGCCUUCGGGUUGUGAACCUCUGUUUCCGGUGGUGAAGGCCCUGUCCGUGUGGUGGGGUUGACGGUAGCCGGGGAUGAAGCGCCGGCUAACUACGUG
rnacentral:rRNA from 1 species